rnacentral:rRNA from 1 species
AUUGAACGCUGGCGGCAGGCCUAACACAUGCAAGUCGAGCGGAUGAAGGGAGCUUGCUCCUGGAUUCAGCGGCGGACGGGUGAGUAAUGCCUAGGAAUCUGCCUGGUAGUGGGGGAUAACGUCCGGAAACGGGCGCUAAUACCGCAUACGUCCUGAGGGAGAAAGUGGGGGAUCUUCGGACCUCACGCUAUCAGAUGAGCCUAGGUCGGAUUAGCUAGUUGGUGGGGUAAAGGCCUACCAAGGCGACGAUCCGUAACUGGUCUGAGAGGAUGAUCAGUCACACUGGAACUGAGACACGGUACAGACUCCUACGGGAGGCAGCAGUGGGGAAUAUGGGACAAUGGGCGAAAGCCUGAUCCAGCCAUGCCGCGUGUGUGAAGAAGGUCUUCGGAUUGUAAAGCACUUUAAGUUGGGAGGAAGGGCAGUAAGUUAAUACCUUGCUGUUUUGACGUUACCAACAGAAUAAGCACCGGCUAACUUCGUG